rnacentral:lncRNA from 1 species
CGUUAUCUCGCGAUAACACAAAGUAACUAAUUUAUUGUCUGUUUUAGGCAGUUUAAUCCGAAUAUCAGAUUUUUAUCAAAGCAUUUUAGGUAAAAAUGGGUUCGCAAAUACCUAAAGCAACUUUACUUCGCUUCCCAACAAUAUUUGGGGGAAUGCUUGUCUUAGCAGGAGUUGGAUUGAUUUACCGAGAGAAAUUUUUGGGGAAUAUCGAAGAACAACGGUUACAAUUGUAUAAGGAAUGCCCUGAAAGCCGAGAAGCGUACGAAAAAUAUAGAAGAGAACAUGGAAGAUGAUACCUAAGUUAUUGUACUUGUUUUUUUCAGUAAAUAAGUGUAUAGAUUUGUUAUAUAUUAAAAAUAUACUCUUUAAUGUAACCUUAAUUAC